CAAUAGCGUAUAUUAAAGUUGUUGCAGUUAAAAAGCUCGUAGUUGGAUUUCUGGUGGGAGCGAUCGGUCUGGCGCUUAGCGCGAGUACUUGCAUCGUCUCCGGCCAUCCUUGGGGAAAGUCUGUCUGGCAUUAAGUUGUCGGGCAGAGGAUCCUCAUCGUUUACUGUGAAAAAAUUAGAGUGUUCAAAGCAGGCUUAUGCCGUUGAAUAUAUUAGCAUGGAAUAAUAAGAUAGGACUUUGGUACUAUUUUGUUGGUUUGCGCACCAAAGUAAUGAUUAAUAGGGACAGUUGGGGGUAGUCGUAUUCCGUUGUCAGAGGUGAAAUUCUUGGAUUUACGGAAGACGAACUACUGCGAAAGCAUUUACCAAGGAUGUUUUCAUUAA
rnacentral:rRNA from 1 species